rnacentral:lncRNA from 1 species
GCCUUUCAGGUCUGAAACAGAGUCCAUGAAGUCAAAGAGCACACAACACUGCUGCAACUUCUGACAAAAAAGAUCUUGCUGUUCAUUGGAGGUGGCAUCUUUGAGCUGGGGCAGCGGCGAGAGCUCCACCUGGCUGCUCUGGCUGCGGAACUGCGAGGAGCCCUGCGAGCGCUUCUGCCUCUGAGCCUUGCGCACCGAUUUCCGUGUGAAGCCAUCCACUUUCUCCGCGGCAGAGAUGGCCGCCGACAUGGCUGGGCGGUGAGGCGGCGCGGGGGGACGUCGCUCUCCAGAAGCAUAUAUUAAAGCGGAGGGAGAAGCGGGCGGGCAAAAAAUGGGGUUCGGGAGGAAGGAGAAAAAAAUAAAAAUAAAAGAUAAAGGAAAAAAAUAGAAAAAGAAAAGCUUGCUGCCCCCGCGCACAGCCCGGGACUGGGGCGGCCGCCCGAGGGGACGCGCUCCGUGCUCCCGAGCCUCCUGGAUCCGGGCUGCGCCCGGCUCCCGAGUUCCUGCUUCCCUCGCAAUUUCCUCCCCGCGCCGAGCCGGCUCCAGGGGAGGCGGGGGGGAGCGGAAGGGGGGAGGAAAAGGAAAAACAAACAAACAAACCCGACGGCAACUUUGCCCGGCGGGGCGGGCGCUCGCCAAACUUUCCGGCGAGCGGGCGGGCGGCCGCUCUCCUCCUCAGGGCCGGACCCGCCGCCCGCCCGGCUCAGCCCGCUGCCGCCUGCCUCGCUCUCUCCUCGGCCGCCUCAGCGCCGAUCCCGCUGUCAUCGGCCGGACUACCCCGCGCCGCGCCGCCCGGGGAGGCUGCUCCCACCCCCCGCUCUCCGGUCGCUCGCUUCCACACGCCCCUUCUCCGCCUUCAACCGCCGCCGGGGGCCCCCCGCGCCUCCGCCGUCAUGCUGCCUCCCGCCGCUCCGCCACGGCCCGCGAGCGGCUCCGCAACUCGGGUAAACGGAGCGAAGCCGAAGGGAAAGAGGGAAAAGCGCCGACGGGGCGAGAGAGAGCGCGAGGAGCGGCCGUUGCUGCGGGGUGAUUGACGGUACCGAACGGCCAAUGAAGAGAAAGAAUCGUGGAAGCCCCGCCCUCCAGGCCUGAGGGUGGGGAGGACGCGACGAGCAGCGCGUGAUUGACAGCAGGCUCCUCCAACCGACAGCGGGCGGCGGGGUGGGCGCGGUUUCCCUCGGCGACAUAAAUACUAGGGAAGGGGAAGGGGCGGGGAGCUGCGGGGCGGCCUUCGGCCAAUCCGCGCAGGGGGCGGCCGUCGAUCGGGGCCGUUGGGCGCGGGGCGCCGCAGCCGUUUCUGCGGAUCGUGCGCCGCGGAGUUCCGGCGGUGCCGGCUCCGUUUCUGGGGGGCGGCCGCGAUCCUGGGCCGGAGCUCUCUGUCCGGCUCCCGCAAGCGUCCCGGUCCCCGGGGCUUCUUGCUGCGGCUCGGGUUGAUGAGGGGAGCGCGGAGCCCGUGCCGGCUCCCAGCUGCUCGGGAGCGCGUCAGCUGCGCUUCGUCCUUCCCGGGAGGCCCUCGGCAGCCGCGUGCGGAUAUGCUCCUCGCGGGGGAAACUGCUGUGAGGGGGUUUGUUUCACCGCCAGCGGCGCGCGCGGAGUUCCGGCAGCACUCAGCGUGCUGUGCUGUGCUGCGCUGUGAUCGCGGCGCUCCGAACUUUGUUCUCACACCCUUCUCGCGCCGCGGCGGCUACGCGCUGCCUUACGCCUCCGGGUCAGCUUGGCUGCCGCGGGUGCGCGCUGCCGUGGUGGUGUUUCUCUCACGCGGAGUCGCGGUGUGGAUGAGCAGGCUGCGAAGCACGAGUUAUCCGCGACGCGUGCUUAACCUCCUAGGGGUGACUGGUUAGGGAGUUGCCAAGUGCUCUGUCCUGUUGGCUCGGGGAGGAUGCUGAGAGGCUUGUGGGCUGCAGGGAUGGAGCCUGACACAGAGGGUGCCGGUGGGGCCAGGGCAGAGAAAUCUGAGAGACUUCGAUCUUCCUGCACGACAAAAUAGGACGCUGAGCUGAGGGUAAAACUUUGGCGUCUCUGUUACAGUGCGUUUCAAGAAGUAAGAAUGCAGCACCGCUCAUGUGGUUCAAGGUGAAGCUCAGCCGUAAGCAGCAAGCAUGUGAAAUGGCGUGCAGCACGAAGGUGAGCUGCCCAGGCCCAUUUCCAGCUGUGAACAGCCCGGCUUUUGAACUGCAAAUGUGUGGGAUGCCUUGGCUUGUAGUCAUGUGGGCGCAGAGGAGCUUCACACACAUCAGCAUGUUUCCUAAGUGUAAUUCUAGGUACCAAUUUGACAAGUGAGCACCUAAAAAUCACAGAUGCUACAGUCUCAGUAAUUUCAGGAGGAUGUAAAUACUGUCAGGUAUGUUUAAGUGCUUUCACGAGGUGGAGCUUAAAUAGUGUAUAGAAUCCAUAAACCAAAAGCCACAUGUAGCCUUAUGUGAACGCAGAGGAAGGCAGAUUUGCAGCCUCCUCAAUAGAAACCGUUGGCUGUAUUUCCUUUGCUCAUUUUUUUUCCCUUCUCACUUCCUCUGUCAGAACCAUUUCUAUUAAUGAUAUCUAUCUUCUAAGUGUAUAGACUUUAAACUGCCAACUCACUCUUUGUAGUAGAGGAAAUCCUUGCGUUCCUUACCUGGUGGAUUCUCACUCUGCUCUGUGGCCCAUAGCUCCUAUGCAGGCAGCACUAAGGGACAGACCCUGCGUGUGUUCCUCUGUUCCUGCCUGCCCUCCAACAGCUGUCAUUUGCUUCUGCACCCAUUUUUAGAAAGUGACAGGGUCCCGUGUGUCCUGUACGCUGUUUAUUGGCAACUCGACCCUUGCUGCCUGUUCCCAAUAUUAAAGUGCCUACCUUAAAGCUUUAUCGAUUAAAUAGUUUCAAAGUGGUUAAUGAGAAGUUCUGUACAGGUUCUGAGCAACAUCAAAAAUGUCUUCUGAGAUUUAAAGUAUUUUCUCCAAGGCUUUGGGACGGUUGCCAUGUUGUUUGAAACAGUGUGGUAAAACAUUGGCAAUUUAAGUUUCUGAUGCAAAGCCCUAAGUAAAUAGAAGGUAUAGCCCUGCAACGAUGAGAUUUUCAUACCAGUUGCGCUGCGAAAUGCUUUCAGGUUGUUUCUUCAUUUGUCACUGUUAUCAUGUAAGAAAUAUCAAUGAAAUCUGAGUCAGCCAAACAAAAAAUAAACUGCUUUAUUGUCUCAAAUAAAUGAGAAGUGCUUUUAGCUAUUGAGUUUCCUGAUGUCUCUUUAAUGAAAUUCUUCUGUUUGGGGGGAAAAAAAAAAAGUAUGUGUGAGCAUCAGCUCUAUGGACCAAACUGAAAAGGUAUUAUUAGAAUUGAUGAAUGCUUCAAGAAAGUGGAAGUACAUGGUUGCGUGAGGCCACAUGAACAAAAAGGCCUGUGAAUUGUGUGUUUGGGGUGAAGGAAAAAAUGGCAGAAAGCUGUGGCUGGCAGUCUGAAAUAGCUGCACUUGAGAAGGCUGCAGAUUACCUUUCCCUGCUUUCUGCGCUUACUGCUUCCUACACAGCUGUCUGAACCGCUUCUGAGUCAGCUUCUGAACCCCAUGAUUUCUAGACUGUAUUUAAGGCAUACAGCAAUGAUGCCAGGUUAUAAGCCGCUGGCUCCAAAUCUAAUUCAUAAAAGUCUGUGGUGUCCGCAGUGAAUGUUGUGAAUAGUAAUUUUAUGCCAAGCUGUUCCUGCUCUUCAAUCAGAGCCUUCAAUAUGCACAGAAGCACUGAUUCUGCAAAACCUUAUAUGUGUAUCUAACUUUACUUAGAAGAAAAUUCAUCAUCACUUGCGAUCCUUAUUCAAAACAGAGAUGCAGCGUUUUAGAACAGAUUUAAUGAGAAGUCACAUUUGCAGUUCUUUUCAUUCAGCC